rnacentral:rRNA from 1 species
AACGAACGCUGGCGGCGUGCUUAACACAUGCAAGUCGAACGCGAAAGGGGCUUCGGUCCUGAGUAAAGUGGCGCACGGGUGAGUAACGCGUGGAUAAUCUACCCGAUGGACCGGGAUAACAUUUCGAAAGGGGUGCUAAUACCGGGAUAAGACCACGGGCUCUUCGGGGUCUGGGGUAAAAGGUGGGGACCUUCGGGCCUACCGUCAUCGGAUGAGUCCGCGUACCAUUAGCUAGUUGGUGGGGUAAGAGCCUACCAAGGCGACGAUGGUUAGCUGGUCUGAGAGGAUGAUCAGCCACACUGGAACUGAGACACGGUCCAGACUCCUACGGGAGGCAGCAGUGGGGGAUAUUGCGCAAUGGGGGCAACCCUGACGCAGCAACGCCGCGUGAAGGAUGAAGGUUUUCGGAUUGUAAACUUCUUUUAUUAAGGCGAAAAAUGACGGUACUUAAUGAUAAGCUCCGGCUAACUACGUG